rnacentral:misc_RNA from 1 species
UGAAGGGUCAACUUAAACGUUCCUGAACAACUCAAAGACAUUAAGAUAUAAGUUUUCCAGUGAUAUAACAAUCUUAUAUGAAAUUAAAAAUGCCUCUUAAUAAUAUCAUCAUGAAAGACAAUUUCAAACUUUAACACAAUAACCAAAUCCAAGCAGAUGCCAUGCCACAUUAUUAAAUCUUAGUUACUUAGCAUCACGUAGAGACUGUUCUCAAAUUAAAGUCACUAACAAAUGUUAUAAAUCUCAAAGUGUUACAUCCAAGGAGCAAAUGUAAUGUAGAACAACAAAAAAACACCCAAAAGGGAAUAAAGAAAUAAACUCUCAACUUUUAUUAAUUCUUAAACACCAAUAAUAAUCACAAUAAGCUAUGCUAAAAUACCUAGAUGACUGGUAUAGUAUAAUAACCACCUAUUAGUACUAGGACUCCAAAAAUAAGAAAAUAUUAAACCAAUCUAACUAGGAAUAUAAAAGGAACACUAUCUAGGAAAUUCUGAACAACAGAAUUCCUAAAUAAUUAAAAUACUAUUUUCAAAUUAAAUUUCCUGAAUAAUAAGAACUUGAACUUCCUAAUCAUGAUAUAAAAUCUGAAUGAAAUAUUUUAAUUUUACAAUUAAAAGUUAAAUAACUAUAAUUCUUAAAUCUAGUUUUCCUUGACUACGUCAUUCUCUAAACUCAACCUCAAGCUUUGUAGUGUUGAAGAAUUAAUAACUGAAUUCAGGAACUAAGCAACUCUAUCUUCUUGGAUUGUAGUAAUAAGAUUGAAAUGAAGAACUCCAUUCUUUCCUUGACAUCCGGUAAUCCACUGAAACAUCUUGUAGUCAUUAAUUUUAGCUUGUAGUCUUUGAAUUUCACCCAUAUAAAAUCUCAUUAAAAACACAAUUUGGAUCUGUGAUC